GAUGAACGCUAGCGGCGGGCUUAAUACAUGCAAGUCAAGGGGUAGCAAUACACCGGCGUACGGGUGCGUAACGCGUAUGGAACCUGCCCUUAUCUGGGGGAUAACUCGGGGAAACUCGAGCUAAUACCGCAUAAGAUAGUAGAGAGGCAUCUCUUAGCUAUUAAAGAUUUAUCGGAUAAGGAUGGCCAUGCGUAAGAUUAGAUAGUUGGCGAGGUAACGGCUCACCAAGUCUACGAUCUUUAGGGGCUCUGAGAGGAGAAUCCCCCACACUGGCACUGGGAUACGGGCCAGACUCCUACGGGAGGCAGCAGUAGGAAAUAUUGGGCAAUGGGCGGGAGCCUGACCCAGCCACGCCGCGUGCAGGAAGACGGCCCUCUGGGUUGUAAACUGCUUUUAACUGGGAAGAAAGCAGCUCAUGCGUGAGAAUUUGACGGUACCAGUUGAAUAAGCCACGGCUAACUACGUGCCAGCAGCCGCCGUAAUAC
rnacentral:rRNA from 1 species